GGAUUCCUUCAGUCAGAAGUUACACGUUGAAAAGAUGCAGGAGUGCCAAAAAAAGAGCAAACAUAUGUUCUCUACAAGACGAAAUGAAAAGGACUGAAAAAGGAAACUUUAUAUAAAACAAAGGCACCAAGGACAUCUUAAAACAGUACCCAGCACUCCAUUUGUCAGCCAUUGUAAAGUCUAAUAGAAAUAAAUGGUAAAAAGCACAACUAAUGUAGCAUAGCCAAGUACUGUAAUCUGAAUCCAAGAUACAUUGAUGAUGCAUUAUAAACAAACUGACUUUCAGGUUCUCAGAGAUAAGAAGCAAAUUCAGUAUGGAUGUGGACAGGAACAUUCUGUCCGGAUUCGGGCACAAUGGCCGACAAAAUCAUUGCAGAAACGGAGGGAGAGGGGUGUGGCCGUGGAGUUGCUGAAUCUCUACAAGAUGGCACUUCUCUCCCACACGGAGGAGGCUCACAAAGGUCACUGCAGCCAUUUUGCUCCUCCCCUACCUCUUCAAAGAAAAUCCAAGUGGGCUGUACAUCUCAGACCAGUGUGUAAAGUUCCCAUCAUCUACCAUAAGAAUAGAGGGAAAAACUCUUUGCGAAUGAGAGCCACAUCCAACUCUUCCUGGAUGGAGAGGAGCUACUUACCGGUGGACCGAUCUCCAUGGGGAUGCAUUUCCUUUCUAAUAUUGAGUAUGCAGCAUCAGUGAAAAGAACAAUGCUGUUCAUUCAGACAUCUUCUGGGACUUGAUGAGGGGAUAAAUGAUCAACAAAUAUUGUAUGAAUGGCAAACUUUUUGCUGUAGUGCGAGAUAGGGGAGACCAGAGAUUCCUGUGAUGUCUGCAAGUGAUAUUUCUGUGACUUUUAAAGUAAAUAAAAUUUGUG